rnacentral:rRNA from 1 species
CGCCCGUCGCUCCUACCGAUUGAGUGUGCUGGUGAAGUGUUCGGAUUGGCAGCUGACCGCGGUCCGCCGCGACCAGCAGCCGAGAAGUUCAUUAAACCCUCCCACUUAGAGGAAGGAGAAGUCGUAACAAGGUUUCC